UACGUAGGGGGCAAGCGUGUCCGGAUUUAUUGGGCGUAAAGAGCGUGUAGGCGGUUUGGUAGGUCCGUUGUGAAAACUCGAGGCUCAACCUCGAGACGCCGAUGGAAACCAUCAGACUAGAGUCCGGAAGAGGAGAGUGGAAUUCCUGGUGUAGCGGUGAAAUGCGCAGAUAUCAGGAAGAACACCCGUGGCUAAGGCGGCUCUCUAGUACGGUACUGAACGCUGAGACGCGAAAGCGU
rnacentral:rRNA from 1 species